AACGAACGCUGGCGGCAGGCCUAACACAUGCAAGUCGAACGCGCGUACGCAAUACGCGAGUGGCGCACGGGUGAGUAACACGUGGGAACCAACCCAGAGGUUCGGAAUAACCGCGGGAAACUGCGGCUAAUACCGGAUAUCCCCCAAGGGGGAAGAUUUAUCGCCUCUGGACGGCCCGCGUCCGAUUAGCUAGUUGGUGAGGUAAUGGCUCACCAAGGCGGCGAUCGGUAGCUGGUCUGAGAGGACGACCAGCCACACUGGAACUGAGACACGGUCCAGACUCCUACGGGAGGCAGCA
rnacentral:rRNA from 1 species